GACGAACGCUGGCGGCGUGCUUAACACAUGCAAGUCGAGCGGUAAGGCCCUUUCGGGGGUACGACGAGCGGCGAACGGGUGAGUAACACGUGGGUGACCUGCCCUCAGCUCUGGGAUAAGCCCGGGAAACUGGGUCUAAUACCGGAUAUGACUUCAUGACGCAUGUUGUGGAGUGGAAAGCCUUGUGCGGCUGAGGAUGGGCCCGCGGCCUAUCAGCUUGUUGGUGGGGUGAGGCCUACCAAGGCGACGACGGGUAGCCGGCCUGAGAGGGCGACCGGCCACACUGGGACUGAGAUACGGCCCAGACUCCUACGGGAGGGCAGCAGUGGGGAAUCUUGCGCAAUGGGCGAAAGCCUGACGCAGCGACGCCGCGUGAGGGAUGACGGCC
rnacentral:rRNA from 1 species